rnacentral:rRNA from 1 species
UUGGGGGAAUGCAUAGUCCUCUUAUGAGGCUAGUUGUGUUUUGAAUAAUGGUAUAAGUUUAUAAAAUAAACAUAACACCAACUACGUUGGAUAAAAUUCUAGAUAGAAUACUGAUUAUGACUAUUUUCUAUCUAUAUGUCUUGACCAAAUUACGUGCCAGCAGUCGCGGCAAUACGUAGAAGACUAGUGUUAUUCAUCUUUAAUAGGUUUAAAGGGUACCUAGACGGUAUUAUUAACCCAAAACAGGGAAAUAUUUUUACUAGAGUUUGAUGUAAAAAGAGAGUAUUGAUGGAGGAGAGUUAAAAUUUUUUGAUACCGUUAGGACUGGUAAUGGCGAAAGCACUCUUUUAUGUAAAAACUGACGUUAAGGGACGAAGGCUUGGGGCGCAAACAGGAUUAGAUACCCUAGUAGUCCAUGCAGAUAAUGAUGAAUGCCAUAGACUAGAUAUGUUUUAGUUUAUAAAUGAAAGUGUAAGCAUUCCACCUCAAGAGUACUGUGGCAACGCUGGAACUGAAAUCAUUAGACCGUUUCUGAGAACAGUAGUGAAGUAUGUUAUAUAAUUCGAUAGUCCUCGUAAAACCUUACCACAACUUGAAUUGUGUCCAUAUUUAAUAAAAUAUUCAAAUAAUAGCAACCUAAUUUAAUAUUACUUAAAUAAUAUCAUUUUAGCUAUAUCUGAUCAAACAUAUUUAAUUAAUAGGAUGUAACAAGUGUUGCACGGUUGUCUUCAGCUAAUGUCGUGAGAUUUUGGUUAGUUCCAUAAAAUUAGCGUAAACCCUGGUUUUAUUUUUUAAUUAAUAUUAUGAUAAAGCAGUUCGUCACUAUAUCGACAUAUGAUAA